rnacentral:lncRNA from 1 species
CUAAAUUUCAUCAAAACAUUUAAGACUUAUCUUCAACUUUCAAACAUGAGAGAAGUAAGCCACUCAAUACUAACUUCAAGCCAACCUCACUUUAAUCCAACACAUAAGAACCUCUUCCAUAAUUAUACAUUCAUAAUCACAGUGUAAACAAAUAAAAUAUCAUGUAACCCAACAAAAUUGACUUCGGGUUGCAUGAAAGAAAUACUUUAAAUCUGCUAAUUUGUAGCACUAAGCUAAUAGCCCAAAGAUAAUAAAGUAAUCACAAUCAUGAAUAUCAAAUAAGAGUGUUACGUAGCUAAUAAAUAAAAAAUAGAACAGAGAUAACAAUGUACCUUAUAUUGCCUUUAAAUUUUCUGCAAAGCAACGAUCAAAAUAACAAUGAUGACUACGAUUGGAACCAACAGCGAUGACCUCGAUAGAACCUCUGAUUUGGUGAUUCCAGAAGUGUUUGCAGUUGGUUCUGCUGCUCGUUCGAUGGAUGGAAUAUAGCUACUAUUUUCUGUGUUCUGGAGCUAUUUCGGGGUUGUUUUGUGAAUGGUGCAAGAGAAAUCAUAAAAAUGAUCGAAUCUUCGGACGCCCCGAAAAAGAUAUGAGGUACUCGGAAAUGGUCGAAGUAGUUGAAUAGGAUUCGCAGGUGUUGAAGCUACUUUAAUGGCUGCUUUUCAGCAGCGAUUUGACUAUUUUGGAUGGAGAUGUUGGACGAAGAAGAAGAGAUAGAAAGCGUUCACUUCUACUUAGGUCUGAAGGUUCAGGUUUAGGUGAUAAAGGCUAUGUAGGGUGUUGUGUGUAUGCGUUUAUCGGCUGUUUCCUUGAAGAAGAAAGGGAUUCGUUCGGUUCCUGGGGUGGUCGGCGUCUGGGGUUGGUUGGAGUAGCAGUGGCUCUAGGGUGUAUGAAGAAGAUGAAAUCUGGCUGGG